rnacentral:lncRNA from 1 species
GGUGGAGUCAGUUUCUUGGAGAAACCUGACCGGUAUGAGGCUAGUCGAGUUCUGGUGGCUAGAACUCUUGAAGCAAGGUGAAGAAGGAGCACUGUCCUUGGUUCAGUUUCUAUAUAGAUCACCAUUGGAGGGUGGAUACUUGGAUACCUUGUAAAAAUUGAGAUUAGCACUAUAGGUAUUUUUUUUAUCCUAAUUUAUAUUUAUUGUACUUUGAUUAUUAUAGUCAAGGGUUUUUGGGCAUUGGGGUUUUCGAUGCAUCAAGUGUUUUGAAUGAAAAUUUUAAAUACCAACCCUUUUGUUGUGCCACCGGAAUCCAACAGUAGGUACAAGAUCGCUAUAGGCACACAACUCUACUCAUGAGAGAUAACUAAUCAGACCCUCAAAAUAUCGUCGAGAGUGCAAGAUGUCAUAGGCACAAGCUCCACACUAGCACACACCAUCUCUCGUGCAAAGACGAGAAGUGCUAGAUAUUGUAGGCACACAAUACCACUCAUGAGGGAUAACUAAUCAAACCCUCCAAAGAUCGUCGAGAGUGCAAGAUACUGUAGGCACAAGCUCGCUGCUGUCACACACCGUCUCUCACACGAAGAUGAGAAGUGCUAGAUGCCAUAGGCAUAAGAUCGCCGCAGGCACACAACGUCACUCAUGAGGGAUAACUAAUUAGACCCUUGGAACACCAUUGAGAGUGUAAGAUGUUGAGGCACAAGCUCGCUACUAGCACACACCACCUCUCACAUGAAGAUAAGAAGAGUUAGAUAUCGUAGGCACAAGAUCGCCACAGACAUACAACGUCACUCAUGAGGGAUAACUAAUCAGACCUUCAAAAUGCCACCGAGAGUGCA